UUACGGUCAAAUCACGCUGAAACACCGGUUCUCGUUCGAUCACCGAAGUUAAGCAUCGUAGAGACCAGGUCAGUACUUAGAUGGGGACCGCUUGGGAACACCUGGUACUGUAAG